AAAGACACGCUAGCUUUCUCAAAAGCUGGGCUUCAACCCACGGGCAAAUAUUCUUUUCCAGAUUUAUCCGCACGUGUCACAUGCUACCUCUACAAUCGACGAUGCUCAGAGCUCGAAGCGCCGAUUCCAGAUAUCAAUGAGGAAUCUGCUUUGCGGAAAUUACGGGCAGCUUUGUCAGAAAGCGCGUAAUUUGUAUUAUUCAUCCAUCCACCGGCUGCCGACAAUGAGUGAGAGAAUAGUUCCGGUUGUGAAGAA
rnacentral:lncRNA from 1 species